rnacentral:lncRNA from 1 species
GAGCUGUCCAGUCACGUGGCUCCCAUCAGAAAGUUCUCCCAGAAAUUACAGAAAGUGAAAGUGGAGUACAGGAGCACAUUUCUCUGGAGCGACACCAAGGUCGAUUACUUUUACCCAUCAGCCACCACCGAUGUUAUGGCCUGUGGCGAUGACACUGGGACCGUCUGGCUGUACAGUAUUGGAAAAAAGGGGGCAACUUUGGUGAAGCCCGUGGCCAAGCUGACAUGGCCUGAUAAACUUUCGUGUAGUGACCAAGUGUCCGUGACGAAAAAGGAUGGAAAGGUUAAUGCAAAUUCCGUAAGACUAAGUCCUGAUGGAGACUACAUGGUAGUGUGCACAGAUCUCAACAUUGUGUGUAUAUGGAGGAUCACGCGAUAAAACACCAGAUUUUAGCAGAAGACAUCAUUAUCAUCAGAUCGUGAAAUCAAGGUUUUUAUAUGACACAGCGGCAUAUUUCUGUUUAGUCAUCGUCAUUAAAUGAAAUGGCACGCACA